rnacentral:rRNA from 1 species
GACGAACGCUGGCGGCGUGCCUAAUACAUGCAAGUAGAACGCUGAAGGAGGAGCUUGCUUCUCUGGAUGAGUUGCGAACGGGUGAGUAACGCGUAGGUAACCUGCCUGGUAGCGGGGGAUAACUAUUGGAAACGAUAGCUAAUACCGCAUAAGAGUAGAUGUCGCAUGACAUUUGCUUAAAAGGUGCAAUUGCAUCACUACCAGAUGGACCUGCGUUGUAUUAGCUAGUUGGUGAGGUAACGGCUCACCAAGGCAACGAUACAUAGCCGACCUGAGAGGGGGAUCGGCCACACUGGGACGGAGACACGGCCCAGACUCCUACGGGAGGCAGCAGUAGGGAAUCUUCGGCAAUGGACGGAAGGCUGACCGAGCAACGCCGCGUGAGUGAAGAAGGUUUUCGGAUCGUAAAGCUCUGUUGUAAGAGAAGAACGAGUGUGAGAGUGGAAAGUUCACACUGUGACGGUAUCUUACCAGAAAGGGACGGCUAACUACGUG